GGCAGGACAAAAUCUAGUAGUAAAAAGAAGAUACAGCGAACAAUUUCAGAGGUGAAGGGUUGUACAUAUGUUAUUAAGUGUGGAAAUAUACUGUCAUGUUAAAGCCGACAGCAAAACUAAAAGGCUAAUCUGCCAAUGGAGGAGGUUCAGGCUUAGGCCUCGUCCUAGUUACUGAUUCACUAAAUGCUGGAAUCUUAGAAACAGACAUGGUAUCUUUAUGUUGAUUUAGUGAUUAUCGUCGAACACUCAAGUGUCUGGAUGUUUCAUUGUCAGAGUUAUCUUUGACAUUCACCAAAUGUAUAACUUUAAAUUCCAUUAAACGUGCAGUACCAAUAACCGUGCUUUGAUGUAUUGUCACCUCAUUCAUAAAAGGGUUCACAAGUGAAAUUUUACUCAUCACAUGACCAACAAGAUCAAC
rnacentral:lncRNA from 1 species